AAAGUAAAGUGCAUAAGUAAAGGGUUUGGGUAAGAGAUAACCGAGGCAUGCGGAGACGAUGAUGUAUCCCGAAGUUCACACCCUUGCGGAUGCUAAUAUCCGUUGGAGCGGUGUGGAGGCACAAUGCUCCCCCAGAUGCCAUUAAGGCCACCGUAAUCUCCUCACGCUCUCGCACAAUGCAAGAUGCCGUGAUUCCAUUAAGGGACCCUUUAGGGCGGUCACCGAACCCGUACAAAUGCCAAACCUUGGGGGAGGUCACCGAUACCCGUACAAAUUGCUCGGGGCAAUCUCCACAACCUAAUUGGAGACCCCGACGCUUGCCCGGAGCUUUACACCACAAUGAUUGAGCUCCGAGACACCACCAAGCCUCUAGG
rnacentral:lncRNA from 1 species